rnacentral:lncRNA from 10 species
GUGGGAGUGGGGAUCACUCCACACCGGGACUGCGAAUCUGGGUCUGGAAGUCCGACAAUAUCCAGCUGGAAAGAGAUCUUUACCAUGUUCUCUAGCUUCUGCUUCACACAUGGGGAAAGUGAAGCUUAGGGAAGGGCCUGGCAGCUCCCCACCAUGGUAGCCUGGAGAGCCACAGUAAACCAUCUAUGCGCUGAAAUCAAGAGGAAGCAGAAAUGAAGAGUUGGCAGAAGCUAGGACAUAUGGUUGGGCCAGGAUGAACCAUGCGCAAGCUGAAAUAAUGAGGAACCAGAAACCACCCAUUUAGCAAAAGCUGCAGAGGGUAGGAAAAAUCAGCCGGCAGCAAGAGGUGAAUAAAGGCAGACAACAGUAGAGGCAGAUUAAUUGGGAUCAUCAGAGAGCUCCUAAAUCUCCCACUGCCAAGUUCCCCUUAAAUUCUCAAGUUUUUGGUUCCACUGUCUGGAAUUCAUAAUGCAACUCAUUCUUCAAGUCUAUGACAUUUUGCCUCCCUUAUUGUUCUACAUUAAUUCUUAUAAUAAAUUCCCUGUUAUUUGA